CUCCUACGGGAGGCAGCAGUAAGGAAUAUUGGUCAAUGGACGCAAGUCUGAACCAGCCAUGCCGCGUGAAGGAUGAAGGUCCUCUGGAUUGUAAACUUCUUUUAUCUGGGACGAAACACUGGUUUUCUAACCAGCUUGACGGUACCAGAGGAAUAAGCACCGGCUAACUCCGUGCCAGCAGCCGCGGUAAUUC
rnacentral:rRNA from 1 species